rnacentral:rRNA from 1 species
AGUGAACGCUGGCGGUAGGCCUAACACAUGCAAGUCGAACGGCAGCACAGUAAGAGCUUGCUCUUACGGGUGGCGAGUGGCGGACGGGUGAGGAAUACAUCGGAAUCUACCUUUUCGUGGGGGAUAACGUAGGGAAACUUACGCUAAUACCGCAUACGACCUACGGGUGAAAGCAGGGGAUCUUCGGACCUUGCGCGAUUGAAUGAGCCGAUGUCGGAUUAGCUAGUUGGCGGGGUAAAGGCCCACCAAGGCGACGACCCGUAGCUGGUCUGAGAGGAUGAUCAGCCACACUGGAACUGAGACACGGUCCAGACUCCUACGGGAGGCAGCAGUGGGGAAUAUUGGACAAUGGGCGCAAGCCUGAUCCAGCCAUACCGCGUGGGUGAAGAAGGCCUUCGGGUUGUAAAGCCCUUUUGUUGGGAAAGAAAAGCAGCAGGUUAAUACCCCGCUGUUCUGACGGUACCCAAAGAAUAAGCACCGGCUAACUUCGUG